rnacentral:rRNA from 1 species
CCUACGGGAGGCAGCAGUGAGGAAUAUUGGUCAAUGGACGAGAGUCUGAACCAGCCAAGUAGCGUGAAGGAUGACUGCCCUAUGGGUUGUAAACUUCUUUUAUAAAGGAAUAAAACGAGGCACGUGUGCCUUUUUGUAUGUACUUUAUGAAUAAGGAUCGGCUAACUCCGUGCCAGCAGCCGCGGUAAUACGGAGGAUCCGAGCGUUAUCCGGAUUUAUUGGGUUUAAAGGGAGCGUAGAUGGGUUGUUAAGUCAGUUGUGAAAGUUUGCGGCUCAACCGUAAAAUUGCGAUUGAUACUGGCAGUCUUGAGUGCAGUGGAGGUAGGCGGAAUUCGUGGUGUAGCGGUGAAAUGCUUAGAUAUCACGAAGAACCCCGAUUGCGAAGGCAGCUUACUAAACUGUGACUGACAUUGAUGCUCGAAAGUGUGGGUAUCAAACAGGAUUAGAUACCCUUGUAGUC